GAAGGGGACCCAUUAAGAGGCCCCGAAACGCGUUGAGCUGCUCCUUCCCCCAACCCUGGCUCUUGGAAUAAAAAGAAUAAAAGAAAGAACAAGGACUCGAGAGUGAUCUUUGUCCAUUUCUAAGACUCUACUGGCGAUCCAGGCGCAGGAGGUGUAGUGUGGGUGUCUUGAGCUUUAUCCCACAUUACCCUCCUGGGUGAAGUGAUGGUGUUCUGUUUAUCAUUGGUGCCUUGC